UACGGAGGGUGCAAGCGUUGUCCGGAAUCACUGGGCGUAAAGGGCGCGUAGGCGGCCCGGUAAGUAGGGGGUGAAAUCCUGCGGCUUAACCGCAGGGCUGCCUUCUAAACUGUCGGGCUCGAGCACGGUAGAGGCAGAUGGAAUUCCCGGUGUAGCGGUGGAAUGCGUAGAGAUCGGGAAGAACAUCAGUGGCGAAGGCGGUCUGCUGGGCAGUUGCUGACGCUGAGGCGCGACAGCGUGGGGAGCAAACAGG
rnacentral:rRNA from 1 species